UGGGCUGUAGUAUAAUGGUAGUACAGCGGGUUCUGGCUCCGUAUGUGGGGGUUCGACUCCUCCCAGCCCAACCA
rnacentral:tRNA from 1 species